rnacentral:rRNA from 1 species
GACGAACGCUGGCGGCGUGCCUAACACAUGCAAGUCGAACGAAGCUUGAUAAUAGAUUUCUUCGGAAUGAAAUUUGAUAUGACUGAGUGGCGGACGGGUGAGUAACGCGUGAGCAACCUGCCCUUCGGAAGGGGAUAGCGUCUGGAAACGGACGGUAAUACCGUAUAACGUAUUGAGCUGGCAUCAUUUUAAUACCAAAGCUGAGGCGCCGAAGGAUGGGCUCGCGUCUGAUUAGAUGGUUGGUGGGGUAACGGCCUACCAAGUCGACGAUCAGUAGCCGGACUGAGAGGUUGAACGGCCACAUUGGGACUGAGACACGGCCCAGACUCCUACGGGAGGCAGCAGUGGGGAAUAUUGCACAAUGGGGGAAACCCUGAUGCAGCAACGCCGCGUGAAGGAAGACGGUUUUCGGAUUGUAAACUUCUGUUCUUAGUGAAGAUAGUGACGGUAGCUAAGGAGCAAGCCACGGCUAACUACGUGCCAGCCGCCGCCGUAAUAC